AGAAACAUAUGUUGUCUAACAGUACAACAACAAUAUGUAUCAUAGAAACAUAUAUUGUCUAACAGUACAACAACUAGAGACGGACACCGUCGAGCUCUAGGGCACCACAUAUCGAAGAAAAAGUAAAGUAGCGUAGCACCAGGCAGGCAGGUGCAGUUCUCAACAUUCAACAUUCAGUAACCAGAAUCGAAUAAAAGUUUAACAUCAGAGUUCACCAGUGCAUGUAGCAUAGAGGUCCAAUUUCCACGAGCACACAGAAUGGAGGAGCCUACACUCAAGAAGCCACAUCUGCAUUUCCAUGUACCUGCGGAGCAAUCGAUGUCCUCAGUUAAACAUAUUUGUAUUAUUAAUUCAGAAAAAGAGUUAUAUCUCAUAAUUUUUGUAUGGCUCAUUAGCUUCAACAAUGUAGAAACAGGACAAGACCUCCAAAGUUGACUCAGACAGAACCAAUAGAACUGUUCAUUUGUAGUCGCACAUUUUGAAGUUCUAUUUCCUUACAUGAGAAACCUUCAACUUCUAAUGUUGACAUGUUCUCAAGUCUUUGGCUACAUCUAAUCUCAGCAGAAGCUCAAUGACCUGUUGCUGAAAAUACCUCAAUUCGAGAGAAAUGCUUAGCUGCAUAGCAUCUCAAAUCAUUUAAAAUGUGCAUUGUUCUCAUGGUUAGAAAUGGGCGAGCUAAAUAAUCAGUAGCAAAUUGAAAUUAAUAAAAUUCAAGCAGUAAACGCCUCAAUCAAGAGAUCAUAUGUCAUAUUAUAAAUUAAUACUUCCUUGUUCAUGCAUUAGAUCCCUUAAGCAAGGGAUCACAUUCACACAUCAUAUUAUUAAUUAACACUUCCUUUAGUCCAAAAUAGAUAUCUUUUUUUUACUCUGCAUAGAAUGAAAACAAUAUAUUUUGACAACUACUCAUGACGAAACAGUUUUUUAUGAAGAAUCUAGGCAAGUCAUUUUUUUAUCAUGUAUUUAAACAAAAAAUCAUAAAGUAUUAAAUAACUAUGGUGACCAAAAUCAGAAAAAUUUAGACUGCACAAAAUUGAAGAAAUCUAGGCAAGCCAGACGCAGCUCCGACUUCUCGGUCACAACGAGAUACAAACAUAGAUGCACCCAUUUGAGGCUGGAGCUCUUUUAGGAUUCCCCACUACGUGCGAAGGAUAUAUGUUUUGGCCACCCAUUUAAACAAGGGUAAAUUUGACUAGAAGUUUUCCUGACUUAUUUAAAGAGUAGGAUUCUAUUUGGAUGUAAUUACUCCUUGACGUAUCAUGAAUUCAUGAUUCACUCCACUGAUGACUCCCAUGUAUAGCAGAUUACAUUUUAAUGUGUAUGCUGGACUAAAGAUUUUUCUUUUCUACCUUGCUAAAGGUCCAAUUGUAGUAUCUCUUAACUUGAUAUGGAGCUUGGAGGAGAGCAGAUUCUCGAAUAUCUUUCUUUCUUCUUUUGUAAAAAUCCUCUUUUAUUAGCGGCCAACAUCUCUGAUGCACAACUCGUCAAAGCUAAGGGGUCCAGGGAACUCUGCUCGAUCACAUUAUCAAUCUCCCAUCUAGACAAGGGGUCGUGUGGUAGCCAAGAUCCUCAACCUGUUGCCCAAGCUCGGAAAGAUUAAAUAACCUGUGGGGACUGGGGGUUCACCAAGACAGCUACUCGGUUAUUAAACAUUUCCAGAUCUUCAUAAUCAUUGGUUGAAGACUCCUGUCGUUGGGCAGCAAACAGAAUGAGAUUUAUUCUGUAAUCUGUAGUGGCUACCGCAUGGAGAAAUUCGAGCUUUCAUCUCUGAAACGGAACCAUAUUAGUGCAUAUUCCAGUACAGCUACUUGUAGUGGAGGAGUCUGUUAGUUUUUUUUAUUGAUUCCUUCUGCAACGGAUACUCCGAUAUAGGCCUUUGUUCUUCAAGUCCAUCAAUAAGGCCACCAACUAAGUUCAAAUUUGCAACCAGCAGGAAAGAUUUUCCAGCUCCUGAUUUCAAAUGGUCUUCUAGUGUUUUUGAAUUUAGACGAGAUGUUCCAAUAUCGUUUCUGUUUUUGCAACAGUGACUCAUAAGGAAGAUCUUUGUUGUACGGAGUUGGCUGUGAAUGGACAGAACAUAAGGAAUGGCCCAAGGUAAAUUUUGAAUGUGGUUCAACUAUUGUAUUAGUGUAGAUUUGUGGUCCGGGAAGCCAAGGUGAAAACUUCUAUAUACUGGAUUCAUUUUUAUUGUUAUGUGAAAACUGGAAAUAUAAAACAUUCACAUAGUUUAAGCUAAUCAGUUCUCACUUUGCAUUCAAAUCUCAUUCAAGGUAAGACGAAUGUGCAGUGUUGGAUCAUAGUAUCGACCGUACAUUACUACCUGACAGCAUCUUAAAAACUCUAGAGGCCAAUUGCAGAUUACAUGUGUGAGUUAGAGUGACAGACCAAGACAUACUGAGAAAAUAUUUAAGCAAAUCGCCUAAAAGCUGAAGGCUGGACAAUAAUUGCAAGCGAGCACUAGGUAUUAUAAUGAUCCCAAAUAAACAGCAAUGUCAAAUGACAAUUGCUAUAAGCCCUUUUCAUUAAUGAACAAGGAAUGUUCCAAUACUGUUACUAGCAUAGAGGGGCCAGGGACUACGCAAUCGCCUUCACACUUGCACGCGUGCACUUGAUAGAAAAAAAAUAUCAAAUACAAUUUAGCAACCAGAAAAAGGUAAAACAGAAAAAUAUCGACAAAGCAUAGGAAAGAGAAAAUAUUUCAUUAUGCUGCCACUUAAAAGAUAAGAUUACCUACUCAAUAUAUCUUGACAAUCAUCCUAUGUAUUGUGCAAAAGUUCAGCUCCACCAUCUCCAGCAC
rnacentral:lncRNA from 1 species